rnacentral:rRNA from 1 species
UCUCGUGACUGCGUGCCUUUUGAAGAAUGAGCCUGCGAGUUUGCGGUGUGUUGCGAGGUUAACCCGUGUGGGGAAGCCGUAGCGAAAGCGAGUCCGAAUAGGGCGAUUCAGUAGCGCGCUCAAGACCCGAAGCGGAGUGAUCUAGCCAUGGGCAGGUUGAAGCGGAGGUAAGACUUCGUGGAGGACCGAACCCACCAGGGUUGAAAACCUGGGGGAUGACCUGUGGUUAGGGGUGAAAGGCCAAUCAAACUCCGUGAUAGCUGGUUCUCCCCGAAAUGCAUUUAGGUGCAGCGUCGUGUGUUUCUUGCCGGAGGUAGAGCACUGGAUAGGCGAUGGGCCCUACCGGGUUACUGACCUUAGCCAAACUCCGAAUGCCGGUAAGUGAGAGCGCGGCAGUGAGACUGUGGGGGAUAAGCUCCAUGGUCGAGAGGGAAACAGCCCAGAGCAUCGACUAAGGCCCCUAAGCGUACGCUAAGUGGGAAAGGAUGUGGAGUCGCAGAGACAACCAGGAGGUUGGCUUAGAAGCAGCCACCCUUGAAAGAGUGCGUAAUAGCUCACUGGUCUAGUGAUUCCGCGCCGACAAUGUAGCGGGGCUCAAGCGUACCGCCGAAGUCGUGUCAUUGCAGUAUAAGCCCCAACGGGUGCUGUGAUGGGUAGGGGAGCGUCGUGUGCCGGGUGAAGCAGCACCGGAAGGUAGUUGUGGACGGUUCACGAGUGAGAAUGCAGGCAUGAGUAGCGAUUCACACGUGAGAAACGUGUGCGCCGAUUGACUAAGGGUUCCUGGGUCAAGCUGAUCUGCCCAGGGUAAGUCGGGACCUAAGGCGAGGCCGACAGGCGUAGUCGAUGGAUAACCGGUUGAUAUUCCGGUACCCGCUGUGAAGCGUCAAACAUCGAGCAUCGUGAUGCUAAGGCCGUGAAGCCGCCCCGGAGCCUUCGGGCAAAGGGGAGUGGUGGAGCCGCUGAACCAAGCGGUUAGUAGGUGAGUGAUGGGGUGACGCAGGAAGGUAGUCCAUCCCGGGCGGUGGUUGUCCCGGGGUAAGGGUGUAGG